AACAGUUGCCAGCUCGGUCCUCCGGGGAUGGUGGGGACACUGUUGGGACCGCCUCUGCUAAAGAGGAGGAAGGAAUGGGCAACGGUAGGUCAGCAUGCCCCGAAUUAUCUGGGCUACACGCGGGCUACAAUGGGUGGGACAAUGGGUAUCGACACCGAAAGGUGAAGGCAAUCUCCUAAACCCAUCCGUAGUUCGGAUUGUGGGCUGCAACUCGCCCACAUGAAGCUGGAAUCUGUAGUAAUCGUGUCUCAAAAUGGCACGGUGAAUAUGUCCCUGCUCCUU
rnacentral:rRNA from 1 species